AAGGCCCUCUUUUUGUCUCCCCUUCUCUCCUCACAGAGGAUGCAGCAGAUGUUGUUAUACCAAGAGCUGGGUCACAGAAUCCUGGAAUCAAAGCACAUCCCUGUGUCUCAGUUUCCUCAUUUACGAAACGGGGAUCAGGAAAGUUGGCUGCCAUGCAAGCAGCUCUCGCAAUGAAAGAAUAGCACUGCAUUUCAGAGUCAACGAACGGCAAGGCUGAAAUUUUCACUUCCACUAUUGAAUCAGACUCUGUGUCACAAUAUCUGUUAGAGGCGUUCAAAAUCCGCCACAAGGUUGUACGUUAUUGUUGGUCAAAAGCCACAGCCUUACCUGAGGCUUUGAGAGCUGUGAGCACCAAUGACUUUUCUUGUUCCUGGCUCCCUAAAUACCAAGAAAAAGCAACUUCCUCAAAGGCACAAAACCAGAAAGUACCCUUGGGUGAAUGUAGAGGACUGGUUCCAGCCUGUCUGGCAAGAGGUAGUAAGGGGCUGGGAACCACCUAGUACACAUCUCCUCAUUCACCACUGAGCUGCCCGCCCACCCCCACCCCCCACACCACCAUUUUACAAAUAAGGAACCAGAGCCACGAAAGACCAUGAGAGGACAUGCCUAAGGUCAUAUGAUUCCGUGAGAGUGGGCGAAGGCUCUAGUCUCCCCAGCCCCUACCUUUUCGUCACUAAAAGGAGAAGAGGGGCAGAAGGAGGUAGCCCAGAGGUGUCCAAAGUAGAAGGAAGGAGAAGUGCUCUGGAAUGAGGAAUAGAGUAGCAAGAGUGACACAGCUGUACUGGACUGACAUAUUGGAUGAUGAGAUCACUUGGUAAGCUAAAGAAAAUGCUAGGGAGGUUACGGCAUCUGUGACUUCCUCCUUGUUCUUGGUAUUCCUAAAACCGAAGAUGGAGGAAAGCUGAAGCAGAGUUGUCCCUUAGAGGUCACUGCCAGGGAGCUGACUAUCCCAUGAAGCUCACUUAGGCCCAUCCUGCAUCCCCUCAGAGGUGGGCAUGCUCUUCUCCACCGGCAGGUGUGACCCAUAGUUGAACUUUCAUGUUAUCCCUCCCUCCACCCUUACCCUCCCACCCCCACUUAGCUCCACCUGUUUCUCCUCGUCCUACAAGGCAGACCACCAACCAGGAGAUCUGAUCAACACCUGACACCUGUUGGCCAAAACUUAGAACUACAGCCACUGGGGCACCUUCUACUCCCACUUCCCCAAAGAAGGGGCUGUUUGCAAUUUAUGUUUUGUUUAAGAAUCCUGCCAACUUUCAUUAUUUCACAAAAACGGAACAAGGGAUAAAGGUAUGUAUGCCAGUGAGAUCUUCCCAGUCUGGAUAUCAACAUAGGAAAAGGUGUGCUUCCUCCAGUGCUGCUCAGAUGGCUUCUUCUGCUGCCCUUGGAUGGGCUUCGAAUAGUCAUACUCAUCAAUCCGCACCAGAUGCAGGGAAAGGGAGAACCAUGACGUGCUAGCCACCAGCCUCCAUAGUUACUGGAAACCUCAUCACUAGUAUUUGCUGGCACCUGGGAGAAGCCCCACUGCCACCCUUAUGCGCUAACACCUGCAGGAUAUUGGAGACUCCAUUUUUAAAAAGAUUUCAUUUAUUUAUGUUUAGAGAGAGGGGAGGGAAGAAGAAAGAGAGGGAGAGAAACAUCGAUUGAUUGCCCUGACUGGGAAUGGAAACACCGACCUUUCAGUCCGCAGGCCAGCCCUCAGUCCACGGGGCCACACUAGCCGGGGCCUGAGUUCCAAUUUCUGAUGUCUCAACUCAAACCACUGUGUCAGCUGUGCAUGGUCUAAGGAAAAACACUGCGUUCAUCACUCCCUACCUACUCCUGUCUCCUUGACCCUGGCUGUCCAGAAUCACACACCCACGCCCACACCAUGGGUCAGUAGCCCCUACCUCUGUGACAGAAGAAGGGCUAAUUGAACCAGCUCUGUCUGAAGCAGGGAUCUUUAACCAUGUUUAUGUCAUGGACCCCUUUAGCAACCCAGUGAAGCGUAUGAACUCCAUUUCAGAAGAAUUUUUACAUCCAUCAAAUAAAAUACAUACGAUAAAAAGGAAAACAAUUAUACUGAAUUACAGCUUUAACACGCCAUUAAAAAAUUGAAAAUCCAGUAACACAUGUGCUUCUUGAUGAAUGUGUUCGAUAACACAAUCCAGUGGCAGAUCUGACAGCUGGCAUAAGUUUGACAUAGCGAUAAAUGAAAGUGAUAUUGCAAGUUAUCUGCCACGACUGUAAUGUGGAAUAAAAAUACCUGUUCAUUUCGACAAAGUCACCAGUACUGUUUGCUGACACUACUAUGAUUUGUUGUGUGCAAAUCAAAGGAAAUGCUGAAUUUCGGUUCGAGGCUGGUGAAAAUUAAGGUGUGUGUGUUUUCUGCUCAGUUCACCGACUGCAGGUGAACCCCGAAGCGUGGAUGGAGAUGUACUGCCACCAGGGGGCGCGGGUGCUUCGAAGCAUUGGCUCCUCCGGCGGAGGGAGAGGAGCUGCCCCGGGCGGAGUCUCCGCCCUUUUCUCUGCUGGGCCUCGCACCCCCAGCGUCUCUGCCUCACCCCCGCCCCUCCCUCACACACACCUGGUGGCGGGAGGGGCUGCUCUUGGAGGAAUCCUCCGAAACUCACGCGGAGGCUUCCCGGUGAGUCCUCCGCCGGCCGCCGGCAGAGGGCGUGCCCGUGCGGGGCGCCCCUCCGCGCGGCCCAGGGCCGGCCCUUCCUCGGCCGUCACCAUCGUCCUGCCCGCUGGUCACUCCGCAGCAAGAACCCGCAGGAGCGGCUCCGGCUCCGGCUCCAGGCCGCCCGCCUGGGCCCUGCCGUUCGUCGUUCUGCGGCCGGUGGGAAGCCAGGCCCACGGGGCGGUUUCGGGUGAAAUCUCGGGAGGGCCGCGGGCUUCCGGGGAAGUUCUCUGCUCGCACUAGGGGCCUCCGGACAGAAUCAUGCCCCGCACGGCGCCUGCACCCUGGGGUGCGAGGCUGUGAUCAGAGCGCUCCCCAUCGUGGCGGCCUCCCUGACGGGCGCCUCGCAGAACGCGAGUGGAAGUAACUUCCUUUGGGAGCGGAGUCCGACUGCGUCGCGCCAUUCCCCGUCCACACCGCGGAGGAAAGCGGCUGCCCUCCCCCCACGUGCGCAAAGUGGAGAUGAAAAUAGUCCCCGCCUGAUAAGGUCGUUAUGUGGAUUAAAUGACAUGUUACUUAGCAAGCACCUAGAAGAGUGUCCAGAUCAUAUAAGUGUCAAAUGAGGUUUUGCUAUUCUUAAUA